rnacentral:rRNA from 1 species
CCUACGGGUGGCAGCAGUGGGGAAUCUUGGGCAAUGGGCGCAAGCCUGACCCAGCGACGCCGCGUGGGGGAUGAAGGCCUUCGGGUCGUAAACCCCUUUUCUGGGGGAAGAAUAAGCGGGGGAGGGAAUGCCCCCGCGAUGACGGUACCCCAGGAAUAAGGGACGGCUAACUCUGUGCCAGCAGCCGCGGUAAGACAGAGGUCCCAAGCGUUAUCCGGAUUCACUGGGCGUAAAGCGCGUGUAGGCGGCCGGGUAAGUCUCCUGUGAAAGCCCUCGGCUUAACCGGGGGAGGCCAGGUGAUACUAGCCGGCUCGGGUGCAGGAGGGGGGAGUGGAACUACCGGAGUAGAGGUGAAAUUCGUAGAUAUCGGGAAGAAUACCGGUGGCGAAGGCGACCUCCUGGCCCGCAACUGACGCUCAUCCGCGAAAGCGUGGGGAGCAAACAGGAUUAGAUCCCCCUGUAGU